AUUGAACGCUGGCGGCAGGCCUAACACAUGCAAGUCGAGCGGAUGAAGGGAGCUUGCUCCUGGAUUCAGCGGCGGACGGGUGAGUAAUGCCUAGGAAUCUGCCUGGGAGUGGGGGAUAACGUCCGGAAACGGGCGCUAAUACCGCAUACGUCCUGAGGGAGAAAGUGGGGGAUCUUCGGACCUCACGCUAUCAGAUGAGCCUAGGUCGGAUUAGCUAGUUGGUGGGGUAAAGGCCUACCAAGGCGACGAUCCGUAACUGGUCUGAGAGGAUGAUCAGUCACACUGGAACUGAGACACGGUCCAGACUCCUACGGGAGGCAGCAGUGGGGAAUAUUGGACAAUGGGCGAAAGCCUGAUCCAGCAAUGCCGCGUGCGUGAAGAAGGUCUUCGGAUUGUAAAGCACUUUAAGUUGGGAGGAAGGGCAGUAAGUUAAUACCUUGCUGUUUUGACGUUACCGAAAGAAUAAGCACCGGCUAACUUCGUG
rnacentral:rRNA from 1 species